GGGUUGUGAGGUUAAGCGACUAAGCGUACACGGUGGAUGCCCUGGCAGUCAGAGGCGAUGAAGGACGUGCUAAUCUGCGAUAAGCGCCGGUAAGGUGAUAUGAACCGUUAUAACCGGCGAUUUCCGAAUGGGGAAACCCAGUGUGAUUCGUCACACUAUCAUUAACUGAAUCCAUAGGUUAAUGAGGCGAACCGGGGGAACUGAAACAUCUAAGUACCCCGAGGAAAAGAAAUCAACCGAGAUUCCCCCAGUAGCGGCGAGCGAACGGGGAGGAGCCCAGAGCCUGAAUCAGCAUGUGUGUUAGUGGAAGCGUCUGGAAAGGUGCGCGAUACAGGGUGACAGCCCCGUACACAAAAGCGCAUGUGCUGUGAGCUCGAUGAGUAGGGCGGGACACGUGGUAUCCUGUCUGAAUAUGGGGGGACCAUCCUCCAAGGCUAAAUACUCCUGACUGACCGAUAGUGAACCAGUACCGUGAGGGAAAGGCGAAAAGAACCCCGGCGAGGGGAGUGAAAAAGAACCUGAAACCGUGUACGUACAAGCAGUGGGAGCACCCUUCGGGGUGUGACUGCGUACCUUUUGUAUAAUGGGUCAGCGACUUAUAUUCUGUAGCAAGGUUAACCGUAUAGGGGAGCCGGAGGGAAACC
rnacentral:rRNA from 2 species